rnacentral:ncRNA from 1 species
GGAAUGAUUGGGCGUAAAGCGUCUGUAUGUGGCUUUUCAAGUCCGCCGUCAAAUCUCAGGGCUCAACCCUAGACAGGCGGUGGAAACUACCAAGCUGGAGUACGGUAGGCAGAGGGAAUUUCCGGUGAAGUGGUGAAAUGCAUUGAGAUCGAAAAGAAUACCAACGGUGAAAGCAUUUUUUUAGUCUGUAUAUAAGUUUUGUCUGGAGUCAAAAUAUAUCUACUUUCACC